GGAAAAUAUUUUUGAAAAAGUGGUAAUUUUAAAAGAAAAAAAAUAACGAAAACAACUAAAAACGGAAAUAACUUAAAAUAACAAAAAGAAAAGGCAAAGUAAAUAAAUCUCCCCCAAACUUGAACCAAACAUUAUCCUCAAUAUUUAAGUGCAAGCAAGAGGGGGUAAACUCACAAAUACCUCACUCAGGAGGUGGGAAGCGCAACAUAAGUUGUUGCAACAUCAACUGAACAUCAGCCAAGACCAUGCCUUAUCUUGUUUGCUCUUAUUUCAUGCCUUG
rnacentral:lncRNA from 1 species